rnacentral:rRNA from 1 species
UACGGGGGGGGCAAGCGUUUGUUCGGAAUUACUGGGCGUAAAGGGUUCGUAGGUGGCCAACUAAGUCAGACGUGAAAUCCCUCAGCUUAACUGGGGAACUGCGUCUGAUACUGGUCGGCUUGAGUGCAGGAGAGGAACGCGGAAUUCCAGGUGUAGCGGUGAAAUGCGUAGAUAUCUGGAGGAACACCGGUGGCGAAGGCGGCAUUCUGGACCGACAUUGACGCUGAGGAGCGAAAGCCAGGGGAGCAAACGGG